rnacentral:rRNA from 1 species
GAUGAACGCUGGCGGCGUGCCUAAUACAUGCAAGUCGAGCGAACAGACGAGGAGCUUGCUCCUCUGACGUUAGCGGCGGACGGGUGAGUAACACGUGGAUAACCUACCUAUAAGACUGGGAUAACUUCGGGAAACCGGAGCUAAUACCGGAUAAUAUAUUGAACCGCAUGGUUCAAUAGUGAAAGACGGUUUUGCUGUCACUUAUAGAUGGAUCCGCGCCGCAUUAGCUAGUUGGUAAGGUAACGGCUUACCAAGGCAACGAUGCGUAGCCGACCUGAGAGGGUGAUCGGCCACACUGGAACUGAGACACGGUCCAGACUCCUACGGGGGGCAGCAGUAGGGAAUCGUCCGCAAUGGGCGAAAGUCUGACAGAGCAACGCCGCGUGAGUGAUGAAGGUCUUCGGAUCGUAAAACUCUGUUAUUAGGGAAGAACAAAUGUGUAAGUAACUAUGCACGUCGUGACGGUACCUAAUCAGAAAGCCACGGCUAACUACG